CAUCAUGAUUCUGGUGCUGACCAUUCAACGAAACAUCAUGAAAAGAGAAAGAAGCAUGAUGGCAAGGAGGAUCUUAAUGAUGUUAACAAACACAAGAGAAACAAGCACAAGAGCUAAAAGAUUGAUGAAAUUGGAGCAAUAAAGGUUACAGGCUGAAAUGUCACAUGUGCUGCUAUAAGUUACUGUCCUCCUGUGCUGCAGUUAAGAAUUUGGAUGGAUCCUUUUCUUAUUGUAAAAUAUCCAAGAAUAGCUUCUGGACCAACUAAAGAAUGCCAAGAGGGUGAAUGCACCUGUUGAAAGUAGAUUUUAGUGAAAUGUACAUAGUGCUGAAAAACAACCUCAUUAUAUCUAUUAUACUA